rnacentral:rRNA from 1 species
AACGAACGUUCGCGGCGCGCCUAACACAUGCAAGUCGCACGAGAAAGGGCUUCGGCCCCGGUAAAGUGGCGCACGGGUGAGUAACACGUGGGUAAUCUUCCCUCGAGCGGGGGAUAACAUUCCGAAAGGAGUGCUAAUACCGCAUAAGACCACGGUCUCGAAAGAGACUGCGGUCAAAGCUGGCCUCUACUUGUAAGCUAGCACUUGAGGAUGAGCCCGCGGCCCAUCAGGCAGUUGGCAGGGUAACGGCCUACCAAACCUAAGACGGGU